AUGGGAGACAUAUUUUUUCAGUAUAAUCCAUCUUACAAGGACGUUGAGAACUUACUACAGGCUUUUUUAAGUGAACGUGAAAAAAAUAAAAUAAUUGCUCAUGUCAACAAAACCCGGGGGCUUAAUGCAGCACAUUGGCCAUCUCAGGAUCCCAAAUGGGACUAUAACAAUCCUGAGGAUUAUCUACAACUAUACCGUUGUAGAGAGGCCAUCCUCACAGCAAUGAAGGAAUGUGCAGACAGUACAGAUAAGUGGAUGGAACUUGAAAAAAUUAAGCAAAAGGAAGAAGAAACACCCUCCAGAUUUAUGGAUAGAAUAAUUGAGUUUGGGGACAGAUACUUAGAUUGGGACCUAACUAAAGAGAGUAGCUUAAGACAAGUUAGAAAGAUCUUUGUAAAUAACUCUUGCAAAGCAAUUAAGAAUUAUUUUAGAACACAAUGCCCAAGAUGGUCAGAUAUGGACCUUGAAGAAUUGCAAAAAACAGCUAUAUAUGUUUUAAAGGGAAACAAAGAAAAGGAGGAAGAAAAUAAUGAUGACAUGGAGGAAAUGAAGAAAAAAAUGAGAUAUUUAAUAGAUAGGAUAACUAAAUUAGAAAGUGGGCAUGAUAAUGAACCAACGACAAUUGCCCCUCUCCAGAAAUCCAAUUAUCAAUCCAUUACUUGCCACUUCUGUGAGAAGAAGGGCCACAAAAUGAUGGAAUGUAGAACCUUUCUUAAGAUGAUUGGAAGGAGUACACAGUUUAAUAAUAGCUUUAGAAAUAAUAACUAUAGAAAUGAUGAUAAUGGUUAUAGAAACCAGAAUUCUAGAAAUUAUAAUAAUGACUAUGGAAAUAACUAUAAUGAAUAUAGAAAUAAGAACUUUAGAAACCAGAAUUAUAGAAAUAGAAAUUGGGAAAAUAAUGACAAUGCUCCAAAUGAAGAAAAUGAUAAUACUCAACAACAAUAUAUGAGAAAUGGCGCUCGUCCAAAAAAUACUCGAGGCGCUAAUAACCCUCAGAGAGGUGCCCUUCAGGAGGGUGCCCAAGGAACUUCCCAAUAA
rnacentral:lncRNA from 1 species